rnacentral:rRNA from 1 species
AGUGAACGCUGGCGGUAGGCCUAACACAUGCAAGUCGAACGGCAGCACAGUAAGAGCUUGCUCUUACGGGUGGCGAGUGGCGGACGGGUGAGGAAUACAUCGGAAUCUACUUUUUCGUGGGGGAUAACGUAGGGAAACUUACGCUAAUACCGCAUACGACCUACGUGUGAAAGCAGGGGAUCUUCGGACCUUGCGCGAUUGAAUGAGUCGAUGUCGGAUUAGCUAGUUGGCGGGGUAAAGGCCCACCAAGGCGACGAUCCGUAGCUGGUCUGAGAGGAUGAUCAGCCACACUGGAACUGAGACACGGUCCAGACUCCUACGGGAGGCGGCAGUGGGGAAUAUUGGACAAUGGGCGCAAGCCUGAUCCAGCCAUACCGCGUGGGUGAAGAAGGCCUUCGGGUUGUAAAGCCCUUUUGUUGGGAAAGAAAAGCAGCAGGUUAAUACCCCGCUGUUCUGACGGUACCCAAAGAAUAAGCACCGGCUAACUUCGUG